AACGCACGAGACCUGCGGACCUGCGGAGGGAUCAUUACCGAGUUUACAACUCCCAAACCCAAUGUGAACGUUACCGAACUGUUGCCUCGGCGGGAUCUCUGCCCCGGGUGCGUCGCAGCCCCGGACCAAGGCGCCCGCCGGAGGACCAACCAAAACUCUUUUGUAUACCCCCUCGCGGGUUUUUAUAUCUGAGCCAUCUCGGCGCCUCUCGUAGGCGUUUCGAAAAUGAAUCAAAACUUU
rnacentral:misc_RNA from 1 species